UACGUAGGGUGCAAGCGUUGUCCGGAAUUAUUGGGCGUAAAGAGCUCGUAGGCGGUCUGUCGCGUCGGCUGUGAAAUCCCGAGGCUCAACCUCGGGUCUGCAGUCGAUACGGGCAAACUAGAGUAUUGCAGGGGAGACUGGAAUUCCUGGUGUAGCGGUGAAAUGCGCAGAUAUCAGGAGGAACACCGGUGGCGAAGGCGGGUCUCUGGGCCGAUACUGACGCUGAGGAGCGAAAGCGUGGGGAGCGAACAAG
rnacentral:rRNA from 1 species